rnacentral:misc_RNA from 1 species
UGAGAGUAAGUAGAGAGGUCUUGGUUGUUGAUUAGACAAGUCAUACAAUUUUCAUAAUUUGAUGACUAGGAACGGACUUGUAUAGUUUGAGACAGUGAGUCUAAUAGUUUGUUUGUUUGAAUUUAUGCACAAAGCUACACAAUGGGCUAUCUGUGCUCUGCCCACCACGGGUAUCGAAACCCGGUUUCUAGCGUUGUAAGUCCGCAGACAUACCGCUGUGCUACUGGGGGGCGAGUCUAAUAGUAAUAAAUUUUGGAGACGGCCCGAAUGGGAUAACAAAGAAGACAAGUUUAACAUAGUAACAAAUGUACAACGUCUCAACCAAAUUGAUCAUGACAGUUGUAUAAUAUUACUACUAGUACAUUAAUAUUACUGUACUGAAUUUGCUGAAACCUGUGGAGUAUAAAAUAUUAAAUGUGAAAUCUCGAUCAAUUUUUACAAAUUAGACUGAAAUUUUAGUGGCAUUGUAACGAGUAUUAGUAAUCUUUUUAAAAAGUUACCCAAUGAAUUUGGAUUUAGAGAGUUAAUUCCGUUUUCAUUUAAAUUUAUUUCCGUAGUUGACAAUGAUGUGAACUCGCUAAAGCUGUAUUAUAUUUAUAAUAUACGAUAAAACAGGUAUACCAUAUUUACAACUUUAUUACAAGAACUGAAACUUUGAAAGUGAAACUGAAUCAUAAUGAUCAGCAAUCAAGAUCGUUCAAAAUAUCGUGCGUAAGCCUUAAAAAGCUAAAUGAUGUCAAGCGUUUUUGAUAUUUGAGUUUGACUAGAACAGUACUGAAUCAUUGAAUGCCUAAUUGAGCAAUUCAAUCUUCAAAAGUAGUUCAGGUAGCGAAAUACAGUAUAAAGACAGCAGAUGUAUUCUCUUAUUCAACUGUUUCGAGGUCCGGAAAGGACUGAACAAGAUCAACCAACUACAGAGAACCAAGCGAUUCUUAAAAUUAUUGAACAACCAACAAACAGUAUAAGAUAUCGGUAUAAAAGUGAAAAAGGAUCACAUGGUGGUUUAACAGGGAAGAGUAGCACCACUUCAAACAAAACAUAUCCUACAGUAAAGAUUGAAAACUUUCAGCCUCAACAUAAUCAACAAGUGUAUGUUAAGGCCACUUUGUACUCAGUUGGUGAUGAACAAAAACCUCAUGUUCACAAGUUGAUGGGGAAGGACUGUGAUUCUGAAGGAACCUGCAAUAUGAAGCUGAAUAGUAAUGGAACUGCUAGACUAGAAAAGACCUUCAUACAACAUGUAGGAAAGGAAGGAGCCAUUCAGGCCUUAGGAGCAAGGAAAACAAAAGAAAACUGCUGGCACCAUGAUACUCAGAAAUGUAAGUUACGGGAAGAUGUUGAACAGGAGGCCAAGGAUAUGGACUUAAACAGAGUCAGAAUCUGUUUCAUGGCAUUUGUCAGGAACCCUGCUUGUCCUGGUUAUUGCCAGCCUCUCUGCCAACCUGUUUUUUCAGAUAUCAUUGCAAAUCAAAAAUGCCCUGAUGUUGGUGAACUAAAGAUUACUCGAAUUAGCAAAUACACUGGGUUUUGUACUGGGAAUGAAGAAGUGUUUCUUCUCUGUGAAAAAGUCAAUAAAAAGGACAUCAAGAUUAGGUUUUUUGAAGAAGACAGAGAGGGAAAUAUUUUGUGGGAAGGUUGUGGAGAUUUUUCAGAAAAUGAUGUUCAUCACCAGGUUGCAAUUGUGUUUCGAACACCAGCCUAUAAGGACCGCAAUAUCAAGGAAGAUGUGAAUGUCAAAAUUCAACUUUACAGGCAAAAAGACAAUCAUUGUAGUGGAAACAUAGAUUUUCUCUAUACUCCUGCUGAAUAUGAUAGAGAAGAAGUAAAACGAAAGAGACAAAAGAUAAGUGGCUUCCAAGAACUUCACGAGCCCCAUGAUUUAGGUUUGUUGUUACAGACAGGUGCUAGUAGCAGUGGAUCUAGUUGGUCUGAUACAAGUACAUUGGGAAGUUUUGUUGGUCACAGUCAGUGUUCAGGCAGUAAUCGUGAAGAGCAGGUUACCAGCAUGUAUACUAUGGACAUACUAAACAAAGCUUGCAUGGAAAUUGGUCUAGUGAAAAAUCCUAUUACUAAGAUUUCUUCGAAUCCAGUGUUCAGUGAAAUACAAGGCCAGAGCAAGAGUUUUGACAGUAAUCUAGAAGUACAGUCUACCAGUUUCAACAUUCCAAACAAUGAUUGGUUGAAAAAUGGUUUAGGGGAAGGUUCUAUCCUAGAUUAUCCUUUCAGUCCAGUGUCCUUUGAAGUACAAUUUGAUCCAGAUUCUCUUCUGAAUCAAGUUGAAAGUGACUCUGUAACUACGUCUGGAGUUGAUAGUGAUAUUCAAAGAUAUCUUGAAUGUAAGGUUCAGGAUCUUACUCUUAAUGAAAAGAUUUCUGAAGAAGUGAAGGAUGAACAAAGACAAAAUUAUGUUCCUAGUCAUCUUCAAAAAAAUGUACCACAAGAUGUCAACCAUUUUUAUACUCAAUCCAAAGAAUGCAUAAAGGGCAGUGUAGAAAUUGGUUUGGUACCUGUAGAAAACAAAGUAAAGCUUAUACCUGAACACAUCAUGAAGCAAAAACCCAAACUUGAUCCAGUACCACUCAUGACUAUAGAUAAUAGCAAUUCAUAUAACUCUAAACAGGCAAUUCAUAUUACGAAGCAGGAGUCUAGUUCUGAAACUAGACGUGCAGAAACAGAGGGGCCAGAGGAAGGAACAGACAUGAGUAACUUAGCUGAAAACAUUAUCAAACAACAGCAAUAUGCUGAAGAUGAAAAACAAGAAAAAAAUGUAAAUAUAAGUUUGGAGAAGUUCAUCACACAAUCAGUAGAACCAACUGGUGAAGAUGUAGAAGCCAGUGAGAAAAGACAACAUAGACACUCAAUAAAAAUUGAGGACAAAAAUUCUGAAAAAAUUCCCCUACCUUCUGGGUUACCUGCUGUGAAACAACUAGCUCUCAGGAUGAGUUUAGCAUUAAGAGCAUUUGUUGUUACUGGAGAUCUAAGAAUAUUAUUAAUAACUCUUCGUCAUCUUGUAGCUGUACAGGAUGAAGAAGGAGAUAAUGCUCUCCACCUAACAAUUAUUCAUCAAGCUAAGCAACAUGUUCAGCAACUAGCUCUGAUUCAUUGUCUCCUGCAUGUUCUCGAAGGACUUCCAGGACAAGUCAUCAAUCAGUGUAACAACUUACAUCAAACACCACUGUUCUUAGCUGUGGUAACAGGAAGCUACAAAGCUAUCCCCCCCUUGCUGUUGAAUGGUGCUGACCUUAAUGUUGCUGAUAAUGAAGGAAAUACACCAGUACAUGUAGCUGUCAAGAAAGGGGAUGACACUGCCCUUACCCUGCUUCUUGAAAGAAAUAACUGUUCUCAGCAUAUUUCUCCAGUUGUUAAUCUAAAUAAAUUGAAUUAUGAAGGGUUUGCUCCUCUUCACCUAGCAGUACUGUAUAAUAGAGAAAGAUGUAUUGACAGACUGUGUGAAAGUGGUGCUAAUGUUAACAUAGCAGAUGGUACAAGUGGGAAUACAGCACUACAUCUUGCUGUAGAACAUCAACCUCAUCUUGUUAGGGGAUUAUUGAAAAAGAAUGAUGUGGACAUAGAUGCCCAAAACUUUUCAGGAAAUACUGCCCUUCAUCUUGCCUGCACUCGAGGCCUCAGAAACAUUGUUAUAGCAUUAAUGGAAGCAGAUGCUAAUCCUCUGAUUCAAAAUUUUGACAUGACUUCCUGUUCUAGCCAGUGUGGCUGUGAAUCUUUAGAAGGAGACAUUACAUGUAAUAACCAUGAAGGGAAAACAGCAGUUGACUUGGUAGAAGAUAACUUUGAAUUCAAACAGAUUUUAGCUGGGGAAAUAAAAUAUCCACCACAAAGAUCUCCUCAGCAGAUGUCAUCAUCAUUAACUGAAUUGAGGAACGAUGGUUCUUUUCCAACAGUCAACCCAGAAGUAACAAAAUUUGAUUAUAUGAGAAAACAACAAGUCUUCUUUGACAGUGCUAAAGUGGACUGUGCUCAGCAACUUAAGAUGUUUGACUCAGGAUAUGCUAGUGGAGAAAUCCAUGAGAUGAAAGAUAAAAAACUGGAAGUUCUCUGUGCUGAGCUAGAUAAAGAUAAUCAGUGGAAGAGUCUUGGACCCUUCCUUGGUUUUGACGAGCAUAUGUUAACCUCUAUUGAGAAAUUUUGUCACAAGAACAGAAGCCCAUCAAAAGAUAUUAUAGAAAAAUUUCAAAAAAACAUAAAGGCACAAGAGGAGAAAAGCUCUCCAGGUAUAGCAGAUGAUGAAGCUUUAAAAAAUGCACUCAAGCUUGCUGGCUUGGAAAAAAUAUUGGAAAAAUAUGAAAGAGCAGAGACUGAAAGUGCAGUUUUCUAAAAAAAGGAAAGACAUUUUGAAGCUUGCUGCAUAAUUUUAUCAUUUGAUCUAAAUAGAGUUUGAUGAAUAUAUAGUUGUGAAAUGAUAAUGAUGUAAAAUUCUUGAAGAGAUUUGAGGAGCUUAAGAUUAAUGAAUAGGAAUUUUAGUAAUAUAACAACCAAUAAAUACAAACUUGAUGAUGAUAUGAUUACCAUAAAAUAUAUUUUAAUGUUUAAAGUAUCCUUAAUUGAUAAUUUCUAGUAGUGUAUGUGGUUAUGGAUUUCAUAGUUAAUGUUUUGGCUUAUUUUUUGUAUUUAAUAUGUGGAGAAGAAAUAGUGCUUGGUUACCAUUUGUCUUUUUUUUAUGCAUUAAGCCUUUCAACAUUAGAUAAAUUAAUAUUACUUAACCCAGUUACUAGUUGUUAUCAUGGUGGCAACAGUGCCGUGCUGCUAAAUUUAUUUAAAUAAACUAUUCCAUGUUUUUUAGUAUAUUUUGUUAUCAACCAGUUUGUUGCCAAUUAUGCAAACAGACUUAUCAAAGAAAUUUUGCAAAAAAAUAAGACUUGUUUAGGUGAAGGCUACAAAACAUAAAUAAGUCAACUCAUAUUAGGCCCAACACAUGGCAAGAAGCCUCCAGUAGUGAGAAGAUUACAAACUAGGUUAAUUAAAAUAGUGAGAAGCUGGAAUCAAGCACUGUGGAGUUAACAAAGCAAUGGUAAACUUGAAGUUUUGGAUUUAAUGUUUAGGAGUUGUUAAUAGGGACAGUAUCAGUAUCAUUAGAAAUACUGUAAUUCUUUUAAAAUCAUCAAACACUGAAGAGUUCACUUGCUUGAUAGCCCCAGCAAUACUAAUAACACAACAUAUGAUGGUGUAGCAGUUUGCUAGGUUUUGUUUUGAACAUGAUAUUUAUAUCUUUAAAGGAGAUUUUUGGAGGUAUUUUAUGUAUUGUAUGUGUAAUUUAUUUUUCUGUGAUUCACGAGUUAAAAAUUAAGAAAAUAGUGAACAUUUUUUGGUGGCAAUGAGAUAAAUGUAUGAUCUUAGGUAGAGCCGGCCUGAUUAGUGGAAUUGGGUAUUCCAUUAAUCCUCAAGCUCAUUAAGUGAUUACACUCAACCAAUUGAUUAUUAUCACAUGAGACUUGGAUUGUUGGAAACACUAAUUUUAAUUAGAUGAUUAUUUUCAUGAGUUUUGGAUGGUUG